rnacentral:rRNA from 1 species
GAAUGCGAUACCUAGUGUGAAUUGCAGAAUUCCGUGAAUCAUCGAGUUUUUGAACGCAAGUUGCGCCUGAGGCUCGUACCGAGGGCAUGUCUGUCUGAGCGUCCA